CACCGCCCGUCACAUCAUGAAAGCCGGUUGUACCCGAAGUCAAUGUGUUAACCGCAAGGAGACAGUUGCCGAAGGUAUGGCUGGGCGAUUUGGGGAUG
rnacentral:rRNA from 1 species